rnacentral:rRNA from 1 species
UACGUAGGGUGCAAGCGUUAAUCGGAAUUACUGGGCGUAAAGCGUGCGCAGGCGGUUAUGUAAGACAGAUGUGAAAUCCCCGGGCUCAACCUGGGAACUGCAUUUGUGACUGCAUAGCUAGAGUACGGUAGAGGGGGAUGGAAUUCCGCGUGUAGCAGUGAAAUGCGUAGAUAUGCGGAGGAACACCGAUGGCGAAGGCAAUCCCCUGGACCUGUACUGACGCUCAUGCACGAAAGCGUGGGGAGCAAAC